rnacentral:rRNA from 1 species
GCUGGUCCGGCGUGCUUAACACAUGCAAGUCGAACGGGAUUUAGUAAACAGAAGCCUCGGCGGAAGAUUACUAAUGAGAGUGGCGAACGGGUGAGUAACGCGUGAGCAACCUGCCUAUGACAGUGGGAUAGCCUCGGGAAACCGGGAUUAAUACCGCAUAAAAUCGUAGAAACACAUGUUUUAACGGUCAAAGAUUUAUCGGUCAUAGAUGGGCUCGCGUCUGAUUAGCUAGUUGGUGAGAUAACAGCCCACCAAGGCGACGAUCAGUAGCCGGUCUGAGAGGAUGAACGGCCACAUUGGAACUGAGACACGGUCCAAACUCCUACGGGAGGCAGCAGUGGGGAAUAUUGCACAAUGGGGGAAACCCUGAUGCAGCGACGCCGCGUGAACGAAGAAGGUAUNCGUAUCGUAAAGUUCUGUCCUAUGGGAAGAUAAUGACAGUACCAUAGAAGAAAGCUCCGGCUAAAUACGUGCCAGCAGACCGGGUAAUACGUAUGGAGCGAGCGUNGUCCGGAAUUAUCGGGCGUAACGGGUACGCAGGCGGUUUAAUAAGUCGAAUGUUAAAGAUCGGGGCUCAANCCCGUAAAGCAUUGGAAACUGAUAAACUUGAGUAGUGGAGAGGAAAGUGGAAUUCCUAGUGUAAUGGUGAAAUACGUAAUAUUAGAGGAAUAACAGUAGCGAAAGGCGACUUCCUGGACACCAAAUUGACGCUGAGGUACGAAAGCGUGGGACGUAAACCAGGAUAGAUACCCUUGGAAGGUCCAGGCGAAA